AAAAAAGAGAGAGACCAAGGAGGAUUCCUGUCAAGGUUCCUGCCAUGAGUUUCAGCCCUGUUUUCCCUCAGUGAUGAACUAUUACCUGCAAGUAUAAGAUGACAUAAAUCUUUUCCUUUUCAAAGUUGCUUAUGGUAAGCAUCCAAUCACAGCAACAGAGAAGCAAACAGAACAUAUCCAUGCACCAGUGAAUGUAAACAUUUGUU
rnacentral:lncRNA from 1 species